rnacentral:rRNA from 1 species
GAUGAACGCUGACGGCGUGCCUAAUACAUGCAAGUCGAGCGAACGGACGAGAAGCUUGCUUCUCUGAUGUUAGCGGCGGACGGGUGAGUAACACGUGGAUAACCUACCUAUAAGACUGGGAUAACUUCGGGAAACCGGAGCUAAUACCGGAUAAUAUUUUGAACCGCAUGGUUCAAAAGUGAAAGACGGUCUUGCUGUCACUUAUAGAUGGAUCCGCGCUGCAUUAGCUAGUUGGUAAGGUAACGGCUUACCAAGGCAACGAUGCAUAGCCGACCUGAGAGGGUGAUCGGCCACACUGGAACUGAGACACGGUCCAGACUCCUACGGGAGGCAGCAGUAGGGAAUCUUCCGCAAUGGGCGAAAGCCUGACGGAGCAACGCCGCGUGAGUGAUGAAGGUCUUCGGAUCGUAAAACCCUGUUAUUAGGGAAGAACAUAUGUGUAAGUAACUGUGCACAUCUUGACGGUACCUAAUCAGAAAGCCACGGCUAACUACGUG